AACGAACGCUGGCGGCGUGCCUAACACAUGCAAGUCGAGCGAGUAGAUCCCUUCGGGGUGAAGCUAGCGGCGGACGGGUGAGUAACACGUGGGCAACCUGCCUCAUAGAGGGGAAUAGCCUUCCGAAAGGAAGAUUAAUACCGCAUAAGAUUGUAGUACCGCAUGGUAUAGCAAUUAAGGGAGUAAUCCGCUAUGAGAUGGGCCCGCGGCGCAUUAGCUAGUUGGUGAGGUAACGGCUCACCAAGGCGACGAUGCGUAGCCGACCUGAGAGGGUGAUCGGCCACAUUGGGACUGAGACACGGCCCAGACUCCUACGGGAGGCAGCAGUGGGGAAUAUUGCACAAUGGGGGAAACCCUGAUGCAGCAAUGCCGCGUGAGUGAUGACGGCCUUCGGGUUGUAAAGCUCUGUCUUCGGGGACGAUAAUGACGGUACCCGAGGAGGAAGCCACGGCUAACUACGUGCCAGCAGCCGCGGUAA
rnacentral:rRNA from 1 species